rnacentral:lncRNA from 1 species
AUGGAAGUUCCCUUGCUAGGGGUUGAAUCAGAGCUACAGCUGCUGGCCUACACCACAGCCACAGCAACGCAGGAUCCGAGCCACAUCUGCAACCUAUACCACAGCUCAUGGCAAUGCCGGAUCCUUAACCCACUGAGCAAGGCCAGGAAUCAAACCCGCAAUCUCAUGGUUCCUAGGAUUCAUUUCACCUGUGCCAUGAUGAGAAUUCCAGGACAUACCAAUUUUAAAGUUCAUAUGGGCACCUCAUAAACCAUGACCAUGGAUGAAAUCACUUAAAAAGAGCAUAAAGGAGAAGAACAGGGGCCAAGACAGAAUCCUGGGGAAGCUGAUGGGCAAGGAGCAGGUGAAGGACAUCAACCAGGAAGGGGUGAUCAGAGGGAAGGAGGAGCACUCAGGGGCUCGUGGGUUCCUAGAAGCAGAGGUGCGAAUGGUGAAGGAGGAGGAGUCAGCAGGAUCUGACUACGAGAGAUGCAGAAAAUGUUUACAGGACUCAAAAGCCGCACUGGGAUUGAUUGAGAGUUUGGGUCAUCUCAAACUCUGCAAGCGUCGGAAGAGUGGUAGAAACAGAAAGGGAGCUCAGACUCUUUCCUUGACCUGGACUGAGAGGCUGUGAGUGCUUCUUACCUGAUGAAUUCAGGCUGCUUGCUAGAAGAGUCCUCCCAGGAAACCAGGAGCUGGAGGUGAAUGAGGCAUAUCUUGUAACAUAGAUCUGCAGAUGGUGCAGGCACUGGUGCUCUGCAGGGAGCAGUGGCAGUGCUGCCCUGCUCUUCUUUCUCAUAGGCUAGUGAUAGUCAAGGCCAACAUGUAGACAGCACCCCUCACUCCCAGGGAUGGUGCUCCUCCCAGCACUGUGCUCAUUUAAUCCCCAUAAAAAUGAGAUGAGCAUUAUAUUGAUUUUACAGAUAGGAAAGCCAAGACUUGGGGAAUUCAAGGACACUUGAGGCAUAUGACCAUGAGGCAGUAGAGCUGGAUACACAUGGAGGCUGGUCCAGCUCCACUAGCUCCUUCCCCACAGGAUUCCUGGCCGUGCUGUAGCCUUGAUCCCCUGAGAAAUCAUAGGAGGAACUUCUCAGCCAAGAGACUCUACCUUCCAACGACCAAAGGCAAUUGCUGCUCCACACAGCAGGGAAGCAGUUCUCAACAUGCCCCAUGUUCUCCCUCUCAGAGCCCCCGAAGGUGCAAGUUACCCAUAAGCCAUCAGAUAUUUGGAUUCACUUCUCUCUCACUUUUGCUCUCCACAUUACUGAUACUUCAAAUAUAUUGCAAUGGCUUCCAGACUCUUACAUGUCAGAUGCUUUUGGACAACACACAUUCCUGGGUCCCUUUCCAGAUUGAAAAGAAUCUUUGUGAGUGUGGUCCUCAAAUCUGUAUCCUAAAAAAGUCCAGGAGCUCCCUGGUAGCCUAGUGGGUUAAGGAUCUGGUGUAGUCACUGUUGUGGCCCAGGUUAGAGCUCUGGUCCCAGGAACUUCUGCAUGCCCCAGGUGAGGCAAAACGAAACAAAACAAACAAAAAUCCCCAGCCCCCAUAAAAUGCAGGUAAUUUGAUGCACUGGUUCACUGGUCCACGGCCUGGCAGUUAUUUGAUACCAUUUCUAUACAAUGGCUUGUCAAUAAUGUGAAGUUAUAUUGUGGUUAUCUGUUGACAUUAGAUUUCCGCAGAUGGAUAGGGUAAUGAGCAUAGGUUUUAAAAAAAAUUUUAUGUCACUGGCUCUGACCUAUUUAUUAAUGAGACAGUCUAUGGUCUCUUUUCUUUGAAUUAGGAUGGCUUGACUCCCUCACCUUCUUAUUGGCUCAAGAGUACAGUCUGUGGAUUCAGUUUUAAGCUUUCCCGGUGCUCAAAGCUCAUUUUGAGAAAAAUGAAAGCUAUUAGUAUUUUAGAUCUGGAAGCAGAGUGCUAUCAGUACCAAGGCUCUUCAGGACCUGGGCCGAUCUGGAGGGAUCAAGGGUUGGCUGGUGCCCUCUAGUGGUCAGAACUUUGUAACACCUUCUAAGACAAGGACUGACCCACUUGAGCUGCUGCUCUAAUAAGAAACUGGGUUUGGCCUUCCACUUGCUGUUUGAAGAUCAUCUGCGUCUUGCCAGAGCACCUUACCUCUCUGGCUACAGUAUUUUUGUAGGCAAAUUGAAAGACUGGAUGAAAAUAUCCAUGAACAGGGAGUCAGCAUGUCCAGAGGGCUGGCCCGGAGACCAGUCACAUGUGAAGUCUAGGCAAGGGGCAGGCGUGACAGCCCUGACAUGCCAUGUAAGUCUGUCUCCACUUGUGGGUGACCUCUCUGAGCCUAGGGCCUUGGCUUAUUCAUUUGUGUGUCCCCUAACAUCUGGCACACUGCUUGGCAGGGAGAAAAUGCCCAGUAAAUAUUUUUUGGAAGGUAGGAGGAAAAGGAAGGUGGGUAGUAUAGUGGAAUAGUUUAUACUUUCUCAGAGAUGGCAGGUCAAGGUUAAACCUUGGGAAGUGGGCCUUUGCUCUACAGCCCAUCACUCAGAAACCUGACCGAGGGAACACCUGGAUUCUGACACCUACAGCUCGGAACCCUCCUGAAUUCUUUGACUCCCAGGGUAAGCAGGGUUUUUUUCCUGCCUGAAAGAGUGGGGCAGGCAUCAAUGUAACAGGAUUUCUGUGAAGUGUGGAUUGUAGAGGUCUGUUCUCCAGCACGGGGCCUUUUAUGCCUCCCUGCCUCUUCCCACUUGAUGGUUAUGGCACAGUUAAUGGAAAUGACUCUGGUUGCCAGGAGACCUGGUCCUGGGCUGAUGUUUGACCUUGACACAUCUCUUUCUCCCCUUGCAGUUCCUUUUCCUGACGAGUGGGGGACUCUUCAGGCUUUCUGCUACAUUGGGCCCCCUGUAUAUCUCGGCAGUUGAUGGGACCCCCAGCAUGCCUGGAAAAAACCAUCACACAAAGGAGAGAAAGAAAGUGAAAAAAAAGUGUAGGGGUAGGGAAAUGGCAUUCAGAGAGAAGCAGACAAAGGAGAGAGAAAAAGGAAGAGAAAAUAAACCUAAAAGUAGUAGAUGUCAUUAGUUCUUUCCGCAAACAUUUACCAAACACUUGUUUUUAUCUGCUGUGAUGGUUAAUUUUAUGUGUUAACUUGGUGAGGCCAUGGCACCCAGUUAUUAGGCUAAAUGUUGCUGUCGGAGCUACAGCUGCUAUGCCACAGCCGCAGCAACAUGGCAUCUAGGCCUCAUCUCUGACCUAUAUCACAGCUCACGGCAAUGCCAGAUCCUUAACCCACUGAGCAAAACCAAGGAUCAAACCUUUCUCCUCAUGGAUACUAGUCAGGUUUAUUACUCCUGAGCCACAAUGAGAAUUCUACUGUGAGAUUAUUUUUUAUGAGAUUAACAUUAACUCAAUAGACUUUGAGUAAAGCAGAUUGCCCUCC